rnacentral:rRNA from 1 species
GCAAGUCGAACGAGAACGGAUAUUAGCUUGCUAAUAUUGUCAGCUAAGUGGCGCACGGGUGAGUAAUAUAUAGUUAAUCUGCCCCAAAGAAGAGAAUAAUUGUUGGAAACGACUUGUAAUGCUCUAUAUGCCUUUAUUACAUAAGUAAGCAAGGGAAAUAUUUAUAGCUCUAGGAUGGGACUGUACGGUAUCAGAUAGUUGGUGAGGUAAUGGCUCACCAAGUCAAUGACGCCUAACUGGUUUGAGAGGAUGAUC